rnacentral:rRNA from 1 species
CUAACUACGUGCGAGAAGCCGCGGUAAGACGUAGGGGGGAAGCGUUACCCGGUGUUACUGGGAGUAAAGGGAGCGUAGGCGGGCUUUCAGGGCAGGAGUGAAAGGGGACGGCUCAACCGUAGUAAGCCCUUGAAACUGGGAGACUUGAGUGCAGGAGAGGAGUGUGGAAUGGCUAGUGUAGCGGUGAAAUGCGUAGAUAUCAGGAGGAACACAAGUU